CAAUAGCGUAUAUUAAAGUUGUUGCAGUUAAAAGCUCGUAGUUGAAUUUUGGGACAAGCUAGAUGGUGCACCUAACGGUGUUUACUAUUUAGCAUGUCCUUCCUUUCUGGGGAUCCAUUCUGCACUUUAUUGUGUGGUGUGGGGAUCCAGGACUUUUACUUUGAAAAAUUAGAGUGUUCAAAGCAGGCUUACGCUUGAAUACAUUAGCAUGGAAUAAUAGAAUAGGACUUUGGUUUUAUUUUGUUGGUUUCUAGAACUGAAGUAAUGAUUAAUAGGGACAGUUGGGGUGGUAUGUAUUUACUUGUCAGAGGUGAAAUUCUUGGAUUUAGUAAAGACAAACUUCUGCGAAAGCAUUCCACAAGGAUGUUUUCAUUAAUCAAGAACGAAAGUUAGGGGAUCGAAGAUGAUUAGAUACCA
rnacentral:rRNA from 1 species